ACCCACACACAAAGAAAGUCUUUAAAAUUAUAUAUGCAUAUAUUUGUAUAUAUGCACUUGCAGGUACUAGGUCAUAAAUACAGGCCUAUUGUCUAUUUCUUAGGAGAGCAAAACUGAAUGGUCAUCUUUGUAGACAAGAGUCUUCACAUGGAGGUCUAUUUAGUGUAUCAGAGGAUGGAUGACUGUAGUCUUGCAGGUAUUCCUCCUUAGUGUUACUUUCAACUAAGCAUUGAGAAAAUAGUGAGCAGCUCUGAAUUUGAAAUUCACACCCCCUCCCCAAGAAAAAUCUGAAGAAAAGAAUAUGUAUGUAUGUAUGUGUGUGUAUAUGUAUAUAUCAUUGUCAUGAAUGAUGAAGUUGUUCUUCAGUUCUGGAAUAUUCAUAGCUAUUUUCCUUAUAGCAUUGUCUCUGCAUCAUUCCUUUUUACCUUUCCUUUUAUCGUUCUGAUUAAAUAAGUAUAAGAUUCUUUGGACUCCUGUAUUUACUAUGGGUUUAUUUAGUGUGUGUGUUUGUGCUAUAUUCUGCAUAUUUUUUUUUACAAUAUACUUCUAAUUGACCGUUUUAUCCACCAAAAAUGUUGAACAGAAAAUACAGAUAAUUUCCUCCCAUUUUCCCUCAAUUCUCUUGCUACUAACAUUUUGCUUUAGUAUAGUACAUUUGUGACAGAUGUCUAUAGUUUCCAUCAGGGUUCCUUUGUGUUGUGAAAGUCUAUGGGUUUGACAAUGUCCUCUACAGUGUCAGAAAGAGUGGUUUAUCUUAAAACCUUUCUCUGCUCUGCCUACCCAUCCCUCCCUCCUACCAGUUAAACUUCUGAAACCCACUGAUCUUAUUGUCUAUAUAGUCUUGCUGAUUUCAGAAUGUUAUGUGCUUAGACUCAUUUGCACUAUAGCUUUUCUGUGCUAAUGUACUUUACUUUGUGUGGUAAUUUAGAUGAUAAGUGUUUCCUAUAGUAUAUUUGAACACAACGGGGGUCCCCAGUUGGUGGCACUGUGUCAAGAAGUUAUGGAAGCUUUAGGAAGUGGAGCCUUACUAAAAGACCGCUGCACUGCAGGGCCAGCUUUGAGGCCAGUAGCUUUAUUUCAUUUUCUGUUCCAGCUCUUGGUUUCCUGAGUUCAGAUGAGAAUGUGAUGGGCCAGUUUCCUGCUCCUGCUGCCAUCAUGGCCUCCACUCUGCAAUGUUCAGGGAGAUGCAGUCCAUCAUGGUGGAGAAGACAUAGCAACAAGCAGAAAGGCUCUUGCUGCAGAUCCCACAAUCUUUACAAGCAGCAUGACCAUCUGGGGACCAAGUGUUCAAGCAGAAAUAAAUGCACCAAAAAACUUCUGGUGGUGUGCUGGUAGCUUCUUGCCGCUUCCUCAGAUUCAGGCUGAUUGGCAGAGUGAUGGCAGCUAAGACAGACUCCUGUGAAGUUUUGCUACAGACUCACAGGGUGAGGUAAGACCCAUGGGAGGAUACAUGAUAUUUGGAGGGAGUAUAAAUAGGACCCAGCAGACAGUGAUGGCAGGCUUGCAUAGCUAGCUUUGCAACACUUCUUAGUCUUGUAUCUCUCUGAUCUUCAAUUCACUGUCCUGGUGUUCCUGCUGGUCCUAAUUGUCCUGGCAUCCCUGCUGGUCCUAAUUGCCCCUGCUGACUCAUGCCAAUGUGGUUGAGGCCUGGCUGUUUCUGCUAGCUUGUGACACUGUUUCUGAUUUGUGUUUGCUAUCCCGACACUACUGAACUGGACUGCUGGGAUAUUCAUGAAGUGUUUACUAGUGGAUGGAGCUGGCACUUCUGAUUCCUGUGAGCUGAACUGCUGAUUUCCUAACAAUGCAGAUUGGAUUUGCAACAAAGAACAAUUUCUAAAUAAGUCCACUUCCCCUGUAUCCUAAUGACCUUUCUUUUCCACUAUCUCUGGUGGGUGAUGGGUUAUAAAGAAGGUUAAUGCAUUUAAGAACCCAUAUAAAAAGUAGGUUUUGAAAACAUCAAAGCCUACAUGUAUCAGGUUGAUAGAGGGUAGACUUGUGAUAACUAUUCUUGGUUGUCAACUGAACCACAUCUGAAGUGAACUAAAACCCCAAGCAGCUGGGCAUAUCUGUGUGAGAUUGUUCCCGACUGGAUCAUCUGAAGUCUGAAGACCCACCCUCCAUCUGGGCCACACUUUUUGGAUAUGGAAGAAGGACGCUCUUGCUUUUUACCUGCUUGUUCUCAUUCUCACUGGCAAGUUCAUUCAUCUUUCUACUGUGGCAUUGCUUCAUUGGUACUAGAGCCUACUUCUUUAGUAUUCUAAUUUAUACUGAAGACCAGCUGAGAGACCUUAUAGAUGACUGAAUAGCUACUAGAUUAUUGGACUUUUCAUAGACAGCCACUGUUGAACUAGCUGGACCAUAGCCUGUAUGUCUUUCGAAUGAAUCGUAUAUAUGAAUGUAUGUUUGUAUGUAUGUAUGUAUGUAUGUAUGUAUGUAUGUAUGUAUCUUCUGAAACUGUAAGUCGCCAAUUAAAUUUUUUUUUCCAGAGCUGAGGACUGAACCCAGGGCCUUGCACUUGCUAGACAAGCACUCUACCACUGAGCUAAAUCCCCAACCCCUCCAAAUUUUUUUUAAUAAGAGUUUCCUUCUUUUGUGAGAGUUUUACACACACACACACACACACACAGUCCGUUCCUUUGGGGGUCACAUAUCAGAUAUUCUACAUGAUCAGAUAUUUACAUUACAAUUCACAGCAGUAGCAAAAUUGUAGUAGUGGAGUAGCAAUAAAAUAAUGUUAUGGUUGGGAGUUCACCACAACUAGUAGGGUCACAGCAUUAGGAAGUUUGAGAGCCACUGCUUUAGAGAACUCUAAUAUAAACAUACUAUCUAAACAUUCAGUUUAUACCAAUCUACAUGCCACUUUGAAGAUAGGUUUUCAGAUGAGAUUAACAUUCAAAUUAGUAGCUUUUGAGUAAAACACAUUAUCUUUCAUAAUGUGAGAAGGCUGAGAGAGGGAAGAGAGAGAGAGAAUAAUAAAAUAGACACAUAGUAGAUAUAUAUUGUAUGUACACACUGUAUGUAUACAGAUAUAUAUAGUAAUAUGUAUAUAGAUAGAUAGAUAGAUAGAUAGAUAGAUAGAUAGAUAGAUAUGCAUAGUAGAUUUUGUGUGUGUGUGUGUGUACAUUAUGCAUGGAGGGGAACAAUAUUCAUCAAUAUGCCCAGUUGUACACAUGCUACUCUUGGUUCUGUUUCUCUGAGGACUUUUACAGAUAACAAGUUGGGAAGCUCCAAACAAAGCAUUAAAGUAGCAAAAACAUUUGGCCAGUUGAAACUUUUAGAACUUGUAAUAAUUCUAACUUAUCAUACUCUGGGUCAAAUGCCAUCAGAUUUUCCCUAUAAACAGUAGUGUCUCAGAAAUGUGUCCUUUCAAUGCCUUUAAUUUUUAUUUAUUUAGGAGCUAGGAGGCAGAGGCAGGCCACCCUGGUCUACUGAGUGAGUUCUAGGACAGCUAGGGCUACACAGAGAAACCCUGUCUCAGAAAAAAAAUCACAUACCACAAGAGUCACCUAUUCAAAGUAUAAAACUAAAUGAUCUUUAGUAUAUUCACAGAUCAUACAGCUACUUCUGCUAUACAUAGCACUUCUAUUACCUAAGAAAGACAAUUCUUCUCUUAGUAUUCACCCUGGCCCUGUUCCCUCUGCCUACACCUAGGGAAUCACAGAUCCCCUUUGUUUGUAGAUUUGCUGGUUCCAAUGCUCUAUACAAGGAAGCAGACACUGUGUGCUCUCUUCUCACUGGCUGUUCUUAUUGAGCACAGUGUCUUCCAGGCGCAUCCACGUUGAUACCAAUGCUAUGCAUCAUCUACUCUUAUUGCCAAAUAAUGUUCCAUUGUAUGGAUUUCCCAUUUUAGGAUAGUUUUCACUUGGAUGGUCAUUAUUGUUUUCCUUGCAAAAUGUCUGAAAAGUAAGAAAGAAAAUAACGGAGCCAUAUAGAAGGACUUUCUGACAUCCUCCAGCAGCAUAAAUAAGACAUGCAGACUUUUAAUACAGUUUAAAGCUUAGGCCUUUGGCUUGGGCAGUCUCCCAGCUACUCUAAACUUAACCUGACUAGCUAGCCUGCGACCUGUCAGGUGGCUAGCUCUGUACUUCUCUGCUCCACUGGUUUCCUUGGAGCAGAACUGUUUCCUUCAAGUCCUUCCUCCUAGUCUUUCGUCUGCUUUCUUCCCCAGGGUCAUUCUUUCUGCCAGGAAGUUCUGCCCUCCACUUCUUGCUCAGCUAGUUACUGGCUGUCAGGUUUUUAUUAUAACAAACCAGAGCCUCUGAUAUAAUUCUAGCUGGCCUUUAGGCAAGCAAAGAAGGAAGCAUAUUCACAAAAUAUAAGGCCAGUGAUGGGCCAUAGAAAUAACAAUACUGAGAUUCUGCCAGCCUGUGCAGAAUUAACAAUUGAAAAUACAGAGAAGACACUCCACACAAGGUGAAGAAAAGGUUACCCCAACAGUACCCUGGUAAAGUUCUCAGGUAAUCAAUCAAUCAAUGUUCCAAGAACAAUAUUUGUUAUAAGCACCAAAGUCCUACUGCUAAAAAUAUGUUAUCAUUGAGGGUAUUUGUGCCUAAGUACUUUUGUUUAUGGGAGAAGAAGUUGAAAUGACUCUCUUGGCAGUAUCUUUGUGGUUGUAUAAGCCAAAGGAUUAAGAGUACCUUUGAGAAGGGGCAGCAUGUGAUAUCUCUGGCAUUGAAAAUGAUGUAAACUUAUAUAUAACAGAUAUGGAUGAUGUUUUUAUUAUAUCCUGUCAGUCAAACUUGCCUUUCUGUCAGGAAAGAGUUUUCAAUCCACAGAACUUACUCCACAUAUUAGAAUCCUUGCAAGGUCCAGAUCACAUGCAAUGUGCACACUUAGCGGACAAUUCAUUUUGAAAGAUCCAUUUCCAAAAUAAAACGGCUCUGUAAUUCCGACUUUGAGCAACAACUAUCCAUGCCAGCAUUGUACAGGAAAGCUUAAGUCUAAUCCUAACAUCAUUCUUCGUGUAAAGUAAGAGCUGUUGGUAUUGCCAAGUCCGAAGGCAGAGCUCCUUUUGAUUUGCUUUAAACUAGCUGGUGCCCGGUAUUGCUUCACAGUGUGUAAACAGAACAGCAGCUAAGCUACCAUGGAGCAGACAUCCUCUAGGAAGAACAGUAAAGUCACUAGACUUAGCAUAGGCUGAGAGGCUCAAACAUUCCAUAAAAUAAGGAAAGCAGGUACAGGCGACAUAGGAAUGUUUCCCUUUCCACAGCAGAGAACUCUCUCACCAACUUCCUGUGGGUUUGCUUGAAUGAUUAUAAUUAUUAGUAAAGAAGUAAGUCCGGCCAGGGAGAACUGUCGAGUGGGCAAUGUUUGUCUUGGGUGUUCCCUUCAUUUCCGCUGCCUGUCUUUCCUCAGCAUUCCUUCCUCUGGAAACAUUUUUUACGGUUUUAAUGGAAAGUUGCUGAUUUUCAAAGAAAUAUAAGUAUUUAAAAGCGACUGUAGAGACUCAAAGAGGUAAUUGCUAGGAUGAAAUGUGACACAGGAUCAGAGGUGAAUUUCAGGAUUCCUCUGCAUCUGCAUCUUCCUCUGCAUCUGCAUCUGCAUCUUCCUUGUCCACAGGGAUGAAACAUGUUCCGCAUCCGUAGCCAUGUCUCCAUGGGAAGUCACACAGGACAUGAAGGGGGACAUGAAGGGUCUCUAGACCACAGACCCUGAUAUCUGCCAGGAGUACCUGUUCUCCUUCAAGUCUGAAGCUUUAGAGAUAGAUGGUGUGAUAGAGAAGAUGAGAUGGCUCAGCUCCUAGAAUUAAGAGUAUAAGAAGCUGCACACAGAACUGAUAACUAAGCAUCAAGCAGGUCAAAGUCUUUUAUGAGCGGGAUUGUUUUCUGUUCUUUCUCUUGUCAUUGCCCUAACAGCCAUUGCUACUCAGACCAUCUUGGACCACAUGUCCAUAACAUUCCCUGAAAGUUUCUCUAAUCUGGAGGUUUAUAUAAAGACAGAAUGCUUUUAUCUAACACACUGAGGUUGUGUUCAGUUGGUAGCUUUGAGGUGAUCCUUAGCAGCACUAAACUUGGCAAGGCAGUGCGAGGCUGUGAGCCCAGCACUGGAGAGACGGAAGCAGGAGAAUCAGAAGUCCACGGUCAUCUUCAGCUACGUAUCACUUUCAAAUCCAUCCCUGAUGCAAAAUAAUAAUGUGAAUAUAAUAAUACCGUCAACAACAAUGACAACAAACUGUUUAGAGAGAAACAUUUCCUAGUAUGCAAAGAGAAUUGGAUGCAUAUUUCCAAUUUGGAAAUACUGGAGCAAAAUUAGUGUUCCUCCUUCUCUAGGAAAUCACCCUAAAGAAGAAUGAGAAACAAAUAGAAAUGCAAGUUAGGAUACCUGGGAAAAUAGAAGCUUCAUGAAGGGAAAGAGGAGCCAAAUGCAGAGGAGAGCAGACAGGGCGUGAAGAAAGAGCAGGAGCUGCUGGUGAACACAGCCCCCAUCAGCCUGCACAGCAGGCAUGUCAGCCUCGUGCGUCCUAAGGCAGAGGCAGCACAACUGUAAAAGACCCAGAGGGGAGCAGAGUGCUCAUGUGAGUCGCUCUAGAGAGGCGGGUAGUGGGGCAGAGGAAGAAAAAGGGGCCUGGUGUGAGUCUUCCAGUUGCCUAUCUGACAUUUUGGGAGAUGUAACAAAUAGGCUGUCUCUCUCUUUUAGGUGACCCUCAGCAGAUUGCUGCUAGCAUCUCUAACAUACCCACCAUUUGUUAAUGUUUACUCUGAAUCAGUCACUGACCCAAAA